rnacentral:misc_RNA from 1 species
UUCAACUACGCUUGCCAAAGUCUAUCCCUUUGCUAGAGGGGAAGGUUAACUGGACUCUUACAGUUAAAGUGAGGGGUAAAUAAAGAACUGCUCUACAUAUUGCCAUAUUUGCAAGUUUUUUUAUAAAGGCUUCGACCAUCUUAUUAGAAAGCUAUAGCAGAUUCGUGUCUUGAAUGAUAUGGUUCAGAUGGGAGUUUAGCAGAGAACCAAAAGUAGAGCUACUGUGGUUCAAUAAAGAUUGUAACUGAUUCUUGGAACUAAUUCUAGAAGCAGCAGUAGCUUUUGAUGAUUGUAUUAAACCAUUAGAAUUGUGACGAGUGCAAAUUUCUAGGGGAUGAAUUUUGACUGUUGCGAUUGUAUCCCACAGUUUUAUCAAUGGCUAUUAUAGUUAUACACC